UCUCCUCCUCUCAGGAACAUCUUGCCUGUUUGUCUGUCAGAUUCACUGUUUGGAGAAAUGCAGCUAUCAUGGGAGGUUGUGAUCAGAGAAGGGGAAGGAGGUCUCUCAGGAUCCAUAACUUCACUCCUAGAUCUGAUUUGAAGUGGUGGAAGUGUCAUGUGGUUUGCUAUUUCACCAGACCUAAUAAUUGACUGAAGGUUUUUUGUCACUGGCCACAUGCUGCUGAAGAGCUUUCCAAAUGCAUCCUGCCUUGCUCAUCUGGCAGGUGCUGGGUUUACAUUCCGAGGUAUCCUGAGAAAUCUUCUGCUG